UACGAAGGGGGCUAGCGUUGCUCGGAAUCACUGGGCGUAAAGGGUGCGUAGGCGGGUCUUUAAGUCAGGGGUGAAAUCCUGGAGCUCAACUCCAGAACUGCCUUUGAUACUGAAGAUCUUGAGUUCGGGAGAGGUGAGUGGAACUGCGAGUGUAGAGGUGAAAUUCGUAGAUAUUCGCAAGAACACCAGUGGCGAAGGCGGCUCACUGGCCCGAUACUGACGCUGAGGCACGAAAGCGUGGGGAGCAAACAGGAUUAGAUGACCCCUGAGUCCCAGGAAC
rnacentral:rRNA from 1 species